UGCCAACUAUUGAGAUGACAUC
rnacentral:miRNA from 1 species